rnacentral:rRNA from 1 species
GAACGCUGGCGGCGCGCCUAACACAUGCAAGUCGAGCGGUAACAGGUGUAGCAAUACAUGCUGACGAGCGGCGAACGGGUGAGUAAUGCUUCGGAAUCUGCCCAAUGGUGGGGAAUAACCAGCCGAAAGGUUGGCUAAUACCGCAUAAGUCCUACGGGGGAAAGCAGGGGAUCGCAAGACCUUGCGCCGAUGGAUGAGCCGAAGUCGGAUUAGCUAGUUGGUAGGGUAACGGCCUACCAAGGCGACGAUCCGUAGCUGGUCUGAGAGGACGACUAGCCACACUGGGACUGAGACACGGCCCAGACUCCUACGGGAGGCAGCAGUGGGGAAUAUUGGACAAUGGGGGAAACCCUGAUCCAGCGACGCCGCGUGUGUGAAGAAGGCCUGCGGGUUGUAAAGCACUUUUAGUGGGGAUGAAAAGCUCAGGGCUAACACCUCUGGGUCUUGACCUAACCCAAAGAAAAAGCACCGGCUAACUCUGUGC